AUGCCGCGUGUGUGAUGAAGGCCUUAGGGUCGUAAAGCACUUUCGCCAGAGAUGAUAAUGACAGUAUCUGGUAAAGAAACCCCGGCUAACUCCGUGCCAGCAGCCGCGGUAAUACGGMGGGGGUUAGCGUUGUUCGGAAUUACUGGGCGUAAAGCGCACGUAGGCGGACUGGAAAGUUGGGGGUGAAAUCCCAGGGCUCAACCCUGGAACUGCCUCCAAAACUAUCAGUCUAGAGUUCGAGAGAGGUGAGUGGAAUUCCGAGUGUAGAGGUGAAAUUCGUAGAUAUUCGGAGGAACACCAGUGGCGAAGGCGGCUCACUGGCUCGAUACUGACGCUGAGGUGCGAAAGUGUGGGGAGCAAACAGGAUUAGAUACCCUGGUAGUCCACACCGUAAACGAUGAAUGCCAGUCGUCGGGUUGCAUGCAAUUCGGUGACACACCUAACGGAUUAAGCAUUCCG
rnacentral:rRNA from 1 species